rnacentral:rRNA from 1 species
UACGUAGGGGGCAAGCGUUGUCCGGAUUCAUUGGGCGUAAAGAGCUCGUAGGCGGUUCGGCAAGUCGGGUGUGAAAACUCCAGGCUCAACCUGGAGACGCCACCCGAUACUGCUGUGACUUGAGUCCGGUAGGGGACCACGGAAUUCCUGGUGUAGCGGUGGAAAUGACGCAGAUAUCAGGAGGAACACCGGUGGCGAAGGCGGAUCUCUGGGCCUUACCUGACGCUGAGCGCGAAAGCGUGGGGAGCGAACAGG